UACGAAGGGGGGCUAGCGUUGCUCGGAAUCACUGGGCGUAAAGGGUGCGUAGGCGGGUCUUUAAGUCAGGGGUGAAAUCCUGGAGCUCAACUCCAGAACUGCCUUUGAUACUGAGGAUCUUGAGUUCGGGAGAGGUGAGUGGAACUGCGAGUGUAGAGGUGAAAUUCGUAGAUAUUCGGAAGAACACCAGUGGCGAAGGCGGCUCACUGGACCGGUAUUGACGCUGAGGUGCGAAAGCGUGGGGAGCAAACAGG
rnacentral:rRNA from 1 species